GACGUAGGGCGCGAGCGUUGUCCGGAUUUAUUGGGCGUAAAGAGCUCGUAGGCGGCUCGUUGCGUCGGCUGUGAAAACCCACAGCUUAACUGUGGGCCUGCAGCCGAUACGGGCGAGCUAGAGUUCGGUAGGGGAGACUGGAAUUCCUGGUGUAGCGGUGAAAUGCGCAGAUAUCGGGAGGAACACCAGUAGCGAAGGCGGCACUCUGGGCCGGUACUGACGCUGAGGAGCGAAAGCGUGGGGAGCGAACAGG
rnacentral:rRNA from 1 species